rnacentral:rRNA from 1 species
GACGAACGCUGGCGGCGUGCUUAACACAUGCAAGUCGAACGGGUCUGCCCUGUUUUUUGCGGGGUGGGUCAGUGGCGAACGGGUGAGUAACACGUGAGUAACCUGCCCCUCACUUCUGGAUAACCGCUUGAAAGGGUGGCUAAUACGGGGUGUUCUGGCUGUGCCGCAUGGUGUGGCUGGGAAAGAUUCACUUUUGCGGUGUUUUGGUGGGGGAUGGGCUCGCGGCCUAUCAGCUUGUUGGUGGGGUGAUGGCCUGCCAAGGCUUUGACGGGUAGCCGGCCUGAGAGGGUGGGCGGUCACACUGGGACUGAGAUACGGCCAAGACUCCUGCGGGAGGCAGCAGGGGGGGGUAUUGCACAAUGGGCGGAAGCCUGAUGCAGCGACGUCGCGUGAGGGAUGGAGGCCUUCGGGUUGUGAACCUCUUUCGCCGGUGAAGAAGGUCCUGCUCUUUGUGGUGGGGUUGACGGUAGCCGGGUUAUGAAGCGCCGGCUAACUACGUG